UACGGAGGAUGCAAGCGUUAUCCGGAAUUAUUGGGCGUAAAGCGUCCGUAGGUGGCUAUUCAAGUCAGUUGUUAAAGCGUGGGGCUUAACUCCAUAAAGGCAAAUGAAACUGAUUAGCUAGAGUGCGAUAGGGGCAAGGGGAAUUUCCAGUGUAGCGGUGAAAUGCGUAGAUAUUGGAAAGAACACCGGUGGCGAAAGCGCCUUGCUGGGUCUGCCCUGACACUGAGGGACGAAAGCUAGGGGAGCGAAAGGG
rnacentral:rRNA from 1 species